UAAGAGUUAUAGACUUUUGUCGUGUAGAAAUCUUGUAUAAAUACUGUUCGUUCUCCAAGUCUAUUCACAAUUCCAUUGAACAUUAACUGUUAAAAUGGCCACCUUCAACAAGAUUUUCUUCAUUUGCGUUUUGGUACCCGCCUUAAUAAUGGCGAUCGUCCUACCAGCAGUUACAGCGGAAGAUUCAGCAGAACAUUCAGUUUUGGUGAAGAGGGGUAUCAAUCUUGCUAAAGUUGUGAAAGUGGUCAAACCAGUAGUAAAAACACUACUACCUUUAGUGCUCUCCGGCUAAACCGAACCGAAAUCGGAAUCUUUAUUACAAGUAUAUUAUAAUUAUCUUUGUCAAAUUCCUACAAUAAAUGUUGCGAGCAAAAAUUUAAAAAA